rnacentral:rRNA from 1 species
AUUGAACGCUGGCGGCAGGCCUAACACAUGCAAGUCGAACGGUAACAGGAAGCAGCUUGCUGCUUUGCUGACGAGUGGCGGACGGGUGAGUAAUGUCUGGGAAACUGCCCGAUGGAGGGGGAUAACUACUGGAAACGGUAGCUAAUACCGCAUAACGUCGCAAGACCAAAGAGGGGGACCUUAGGGCCUCUUGCCAUCGGAUGUGCCCAGAUGGGAUUAGCUAGUAGGUGGGGUAACGGCUCACCUAGGCGACGAUCCCUAGCUGGUCUGAGAGGAUGACCAGCCACACUGGAACUGAGACACGGUCCAGACUCCUACGGGAGGCAGCAGUGGGGAAUAUUGCACAAUGGGCGCAAGCCUGAUGCAGCCAUGCCGCGUGUAUGAAGAAGGCCUUCGGGUUGUAAAGUACUUUCAGCGGGGAGGGAGGGAGUAAAGUUAAUACCUUUGCUCAUUGACGUUACCCGCAGAAGAAGCACCGGCUAACUCCGUG